CUACACUUGUUCUGUUUUUAUUCCUUUAAUGUCCUUGUUUUUUGAGGUGGGAGUUGAGCAGGGUCUGUGUUUUGUUUACCUCUGAAUCAGAAGACUGACUAUACCGGCACACUUUACAGUGACAAAACAAGGGUUAUGACACAUUUUUUCAUC